GCUGUGACCUGCAGUUUCCCCUGCUUCAUUUGCUCAACCCCACUGUGAUCCGACAGGCCUGGAACUAUUUCACCGCUGCUCACUUCACCGGUAGAAGCCCCAUAGGAGGGACACCACACUCUCCACCAGCCCUGCUGGACUCCAUGGGGCCGCGCAGACAACCAGAAUGAAGACCAAAAAAAGCUGUGAUGAAGGUAAAAACAGAAGUGGAGAAGGAAAGGGAUAAAAGGCAAGCAGCUGAACUACAGAGUUAACCAACUCAGUCACUGUGUGCUAUUUGCAUGGACUGUUCGCUUCCCAGCACUACAGAUUGGAUGAAUGGCUGCCAAUGGAACUUCCGUGUGAAUCAAAGUUGAGUCCUCUGACUAUUGACAAACGUGUAGUAGACCUUGGGUGUUAGUGCACAUUUUGCUUUAACCAUGUCUCCUCAAAGUCCAGAUACUGCUUCUUAUUUGCAAGGCAGGACUAGAAGAGCACUAUUUUCAGCAGAGAAAUGGUGGAUGUUAAGGCCCUUAACCUUUACCUCAUGCACAUCUUCCCCCCCCUCCAAAUUUUCACUAGUGUAGCUUUUUCUCCAGCAUAGGUUCUCUGCCACAUUCAGGCACCAUGAAUUAGCUAUCCAUUGUCCCUUAAGUGCAAGGACAAUGCUUAAGGCUUCCCCACUCCCUCCUCUACCAGGAGAAACCCUGCAGGCCUGUGUUUAGAGCUCUAUCAGAUUGCUGAAUGUAAUCUUAUUAAUAAGCCUGUAACACUAACAUUAAAGGUAAAGUUGUGCUGUCAA